rnacentral:lncRNA from 1 species
UCUCUCUCUCUCUCACUCUCACACACACUCCCUCUUCCUCCCUCCCUCUUUCCAUCUCUAUUCUGAAUGCAGUGCAGCUCCUCCCUCCACCUUGCACUGUCCUCACCCCCCAUCUCUUCUCUCUCGUCUCAUCCGCACUGAUCUAUAGGUAUAGCCAGUGUGUGUGCUUGCAUUGACAUGUGAGCACAUUUUUGGAGGUAGAGGGCAACACUCAGCACUACUGAGUAUUCAGCACUAAAUCAGAACGGGGGGUUUGGAUGACUUAGUCACAUACCUUGCUCAGCCCCCACCCCUUUUUAAAAUCUUCUAGCUUUUUUUCCCUCCAAAUCUGUUCUCUUCAAUGGAAUCUUCAGUCUCUCUUCACCACUCAGAGGCAUUUGGAUUUAAUGUUUAGUGUGGCAGCAUGAAUUAAAAUUUGGAAAUCUCCAAGUAACGCUGGCAGACAGCACAUGGGUCGCACAGAGCAGGGAGGGAAUGUGGACUAAGGAAAGGGAGGCCCUCCAGUUACCCACCAUCUGCAACACACGCGGUAAAAGGCUUCCAAAUUGACAGGUUCGCUUUCAUUGUAUGUAAGUACAGUGCUCACAUUGUUCCCUCAGUCAAUUGCUUGGCUUCAGUCUCUGUUUAAGC